rnacentral:tRNA from 1 species
GUCGGGAUAGCUCAGCUGGUAGAGCAGGGCCC